AUUUCAUGUUACACUACUAUUGUAGUUCAGUGGAAAUAGCUAUACUAUUAGGUUGGUACUGAUAUAAUACUAGUUGUGAACAUCCAGCCAAAGGAGCUGGUUAAUUCCUGAAAACAGCAAAUCAAAAAUCCUUUUUCAGUUACUGGACUAUACAGAAAUAUCUCAAGCCUUAAAUUUAGUAAUUAAGAAUGUGAUCUUCUGAAGUUUGGGGAUGGAUGUUUCUUUAUGUCAAGACUGGCUGUAUAUGA